GGGGAUGUAGCUCAAUGGUAGAGCACUUGCCUAGCAAAAGUAAGGUCCUGGGUUCAACUUCCAGUUACCCCC
rfam:Ictidomys tridecemlineatus contig058932, whole genome shotgun sequence.